rnacentral:rRNA from 1 species
CACGUAGGGGGCAAGCGUUGUCCGGAUUUAUUGGGCGUAAAGAGCUCGUAGGCGGCUCGGUAAGUCGGGUGUGAAAACUCGGGGCUCAACCCCGAGACGCCACUCGAUACUGCCAUGGCUUGAGUCCGGUAGGGGAGUGUGGAAUUCCUGGUGUAGCGGUGAAAUGCGCAGAUAUCAGGAGGAACACCGAUGGCGAAGGCAGCACUCUGGGCCGGUACUGACGCUGAGACGCGAAAGCGUGGGGAGCGAACAGG